rnacentral:rRNA from 1 species
GGUUGACCUCUUUAUCAGGUAGGGAUACCCGC